rnacentral:rRNA from 1 species
UACGGGGGGGGCAAGCGUUGUUCGGAAUUACUGGGCGUAAAGGGCUCGUAGGUGGCCAACUAAGUCAGACGUGAAAUCCCUCGGCUUAACCGAGGAACUGCGUCUGAUACUGGAUGGCUUGAGUUUGGGAGAGGAAUGCGGAAUUCCAGGUGUAGCGGUGAAAUGCGCAGAUAUCAGGAGGAACACCGGUGGCGAAGGCGGGUCUCUGGGCCGAUACUGACGCUGAGGAGCGAAAGCGUGGGGAGCGAACAGG